UGAAUCGGUGAAUCUAUAGAUUGAAUUGGCGAAUCAAUAGAUUCAAUGUAACUCAAGUACAGUGGUGUUUGAGUUUUUCUGAAGUAUAAUUAUUAUUUUUUUUUUUGUCUUGACGUAACUUGUAUAGUCUGAAAGUUAAAUUCAAUUAUUUUUUUAUUUAUUUUGAUAUAAUUUGGUGUUAGUAAAAUUAAUUCUUUAAAUUUCAAUAUUUAUUUUGAUGUAAGUAAGUGGAUCUCGUUAUUUUCGGAAUAUAAUGGUAAACUAAUCGCUAUAAAAUUUAACCUAUUAAAUAAUUAAUUUUUUUAUUAUUAUUUAAAGGUAAUCUUAAUUUAUUAUAAAUAACGUAAUUCUAAUUCAUUAUAAAGGAAGUAGAGUUUAUGCUUUAUUAUUUAAUAAAAUUUUUAGAGAAGGUUGGGUGUGGCGGAAGUUGAGUUCAACACUUUAGACGAAAAAGUUAAGAGUAGGUAAACUGGAGGUCUGACAUAACUUGAGUUAUACUAUAUUUUUGACUUCAUAAAAACAAAUAUCAAAAAUAAUAAAAUUUGAGUUCUAUCCCUCUACUUAUCCCA
rnacentral:lncRNA from 1 species